AGGUCAUUUCAAAGAAGACCUGUUAGGCUGUGAAACUAAGAGCUCUUAACAUGGAGACUAACCAAAGUUUGAAAUUCUCCACAGGAUGACAUCAUGGUCACUCAAUAGUGUUAUGUUUCUCUGAGAAAAUAUAAAA
rnacentral:snoRNA from 1 species